GAUGAACGCUAGCGGCAGGCCUAAUACAUGCAAGUCGGACGGGAUUGGAGAGCUUGCUUUCCAUGAGAGUGGCGCACGGGUGCGUAACACGUAUGUAACGUACCUUGUUCAGGGGGAUAGCCUCUCGAAAGAGAGAUUAAGACCGCAUAAAAUCACAUUGCAGCAUUGCAAAAUGAUCAAAUAUUUAUAGGAACAAGAUGGGCAUGCGGAACAUUAGCUAGUUGGUAAGGUAACGGCUUACCAAGGCUACGAUGUUUAGGGGAUCUGAGAGGAUGACCCCCCACACUGGUACUGAGACACGGACCAGACUCCUACGGGAGGCAGCAGUAAGGAAUAUUGGUCAAUGGGCGGAAGCCUGAACCAGCCAUGCCGCGUGCAGGAAGACGGCCCUACGGGUUGUAAACUGCUUUUAUACGGGAAUAAACCUGAUUACGUGUAAUCAGCUGAAUGUACUGUAAGAAUAAGGAUCGGCUAACUCCGUGCCAGCAGCCGCGGUAAUACGGAGGAUCCAAGCGUUAUCCGGAUUUAUUGGGUUUAAAGGGUGCGUAGGUGGCCUGUUAAGUCAGGGGUGAAAGACGGUAGCUCAACUAUCGCAGUGCCCUUGAUACUGAUGGGCUUGAAUGAACUAGAGGUAGGCGGAAUGUGACAAGUAGCGGUGAAAUGCAUAGAUAUGUCACAGAACACCAAUUGCGAAGGCAGCUUACUAUGGUUUUAUUGACACUGAGGCACGAAAGCGUGGGGAUCAAACAGGAUUAGAUACCCUGGUAGUCCACGCCCUAAACGAUGAUUACUCGACGUUUGCGAUACACAGUGAGCGUCUAAGCGAAAGCGUUAAGUAUUCCACCUGGGGAGUACGCCCGCAAGGGUGAAACUCAAACGAAUUGACGG
rnacentral:rRNA from 1 species